rnacentral:rRNA from 1 species
UGGGGAAUUUUCCGCAAUGGGCGAAAGCCUGACGGAGCAAUACCGCGUGAGGGAGGAAGGCUUUUGGGUUGUAAACCUCUUUUGUUAAGGAAGAAGAAGUGACGGUACUUAACGAAUCAGCAUCGGCUAACUCCGUGCCAGCAGCCGCGGUAAGACGGAGGAUGCAAGCGUUAUCCGGAAUUAUUGGGCGUAAAGCGUCCGUAGGCGGUUAUUUAAGUCUGCUGUCAAAGACCACAGCUCAACUGUGGGCGGGCGGUGGAAACUGGGUAACUAGAGUUCGGUAGGGGUAGAGGGAAUUCCCAGUGUAGCGGUGAAAUGCGUAGAUAUUGGGAAGAACACCAGUGGCGAAGGCGCUCUACUGGGCCGAGACUGACGCUGAUGGACGAAAGCUAGGGGAGCGAAAGGGAUUAGAUACCCCCGUAGUCC